UUUGAUCCUGGCUCAGAUUGAACGCUGGCGGCAGGCCUAACACAUGCAAAUCGAGCGGCAGCACGGGAAGCUUGCUUCCUGGUGGCGAGCGGCGGACGGGUGAGUAAUGCAUAGGAAUCUGCCCGGUAGUGGGGGAUAACCUGGGGAAACCCAGGCUAAUACCGCAUACGUCCUACGGGAGAAAGCAGGGGCUCUUCGGACCUUGCGCUAUCGGAUGAGUCUAUGUCGGAUUAGCUGGUUGGUGAGGUAAUGGCUCACCAAGGCGACGAUCCGUAGCUGGUCUGAGAGGAUGAUCAGCCACAUCGGGACUGAGACACGGCCCGAACUCCUACGGGAGGCAGCAGUGGGGAAUAUUGGACAAUGGGCGCAAGCCUGAUCCAGCCAUGCCGCGUGUGUGAAGAAGGCCCUCGGGUUGUAAAGCACUUUCAGUGGGGAAGAAAGCCUGGUGGUUAAUACCCGUCAGGAAGGACAUCACCCACAGAAGAAGCACCGGCUAACUCCGUGCCAGCAGCCGCGGUAAUACGGAGGGUGCGAGCGUUAAUCGGAAUUACUGGGCGUAAAGCGCGCGUAGGUGGCUUGAUAAGCCGGUUGUGAAAGCCCCGGGCUCAACCUGGGAACGGCAUCCGGAACUGUCAGGCUAGAGUGCAGGAGAGGAAGGUAGAAUUCCCGGUGUAGCGGUGAAAUGCGUAGAGAUCGGGAGGAAUACCAGUGGCGAAGGCGGCCUUCUGGACUGACACUGACACUGAGGUGCGAAAGCGUGGGUAGCAAACAGGAUUAGAUACCCUGGUAGUCCACGCCGUAAACGAUGUCGACUAGCCGUUGGGUCCUUCGCGGACUUUGUGGCGCAGUUAACGCGAUAAGUCGACCGCCUGGGGAGUACG
rnacentral:rRNA from 1 species